rnacentral:tmRNA from 1 species
GGGGGCGAAUGGGGUUCGACGGGGGUAGGGAGAAAGGGAAGCGCAUGCCGAGGUCCCACUCCUCGUUAAACAGUGGGGCAAACACAAGUGCCGACUCGUAUGAGUACGCUUUGGCCGCUUAAUUGAUCGGCCAACGUCCUGCGGGAUUUGCCCGUAGGUCCCGUUAGGGCGUCAGAGAAUACGGGCUUGGUCCUUGCUAAGGCUCAUAGGCAAGGACGACGCCUUUAUGAGCUAGUCCUUAUGGUUUCCUGCCUGUGGGGACCAUAGGGGCGAAAGUUAAACACAGGCUAAGCAUGUAGGGCUUCCUUUCAAACUACUCUCGGACGCGGGUUCGAUUCCCGCCGCCUCCACCA